AAUUAUUUUCAGUAUCGCCACGAAGCUCUUUUUUCCUUCACGGGAAGAGAGAUCAGAACCGGAAACCCAAUCCCUGGCGCUGCGGUGGUUGCGUCCUGCGUGUGACGCGCUGCCGUUGUCAUGGCUACAGAGGUCAAAGUCUGUCUCCCACUCUCGCAGUUUAGAAGAACAUAUUUCCAGCUGUGUGAUGCGAUCGCUCAAGAUGACACACUGAUGUUUUUACCAAAUGAUGAAUUACUUUUCUUGGCAAAUUUUAACCGUGGUCUAAGUGACAAAAUAGAACAUUUUAAGACAAUUAUUUUGUGAUAGUUCUCUGCAGUGAAUUUCAUUUUCCUUUUUCCAGAUUAGUUCAAGAUUCAGAAUUAAAGCAAUUAUAGUCCCACUGGGGGAAAUGUAGUUAAAGAGUCAUGAUUCAAGUUGGAAUUGAUUUAAUUUCUAUGCAGGAAACAGGAACACUGGAUGUGUGUGGGAGUUAUUUUGAUUCUUUUUAAAUAUACAUAUAUUCUGUUUGCAGUCAGGAAGAUUAAACAAACAUCACACUGACAAUAUUCUUUAAAAAAAUGAAAUAAGAUAAUUCAUUAGGAAUUAAAAGAAUAAACGUGUGUGUCUUUGACCUUUAAUUCAUUCUUAUUAAACAUAAAUCUGUCAAACAGGA